rnacentral:rRNA from 1 species
CGAACGCUGGCGGCGUGCCUAACACAUGCAAGUCGAACGGAGAUUACAGCAAUGUAAUCUUAGUGGCGAACGGGUGAGUAACGCGUAGACAACCUACCUUCUAGCUGGGGACAACACUGCGAAAGUGGUGCUAAUACCGAAUGUUGUAUUUUGAUUGCAUAAUCGAAAUACUAAAGGCGGCCUCUAUUUAUAAGCUGUCACUAGAAGAUGGGUCUGCGUCUGAUUAGCUAGUUGGUGAGGUAAUGGCUCACCAAGGCGACGAUCAGUAGCCGGUCUGAGAGGAUGAACGGCCACACUGGGACUGAGACACGGCCCAGACUCCUACGGGAGGCAGCAGUGGGGAAUCUUCCGCAAUGGACGAAAGUCCGACGGAGCAACGCCGCGUGAGUGAAGAAGGUUUUCGGAUCGUAAAACUCUGUUUUCAGGGACGAAUGUGCGUCAUGUAAAUAAUGUGAUGUAAUGACGGUACCUGAGUAGAAAGCCACGGCUAACUACGUG